rnacentral:lncRNA from 1 species
UGUGGAUCCGGGCACAGAACUCUCAGCCCCUGCAGCACUAUGUCUGUCUGCCUGUGUACCUCCAUGCUUCCGGCCAUGCUGAUAAUGAACUAAACCUUGGAAACUCUAAGCAAUUCACAGUUUGAGCCUUGAGCCUACAGACCAGCCAGAGAAGUAACACCAAUCCGCAGCAAACGGCUUCACCAAACAAUCCCACCCCCACCCCUUAAGCGAUGACAAUCUCUCCGUCAAGGACAGGAGUUAAUCUGGAUAAUAAUAGCGGCUCUCAACUCCCGGGGAGAGGGUGGAGUUCCGACUUUUGAAGGUCCGAAGGGGCUCUUCGGAUCCUGUUCAGGUCACUGAGUGGCUUUUCACUGGUGAAGGAAGUAGAAAUUUACCACCAAUGAGACAUUACGGGGAGGAGAGAAAAAUCAUCUUGCUCUCUGUGGCAUUUGUGAAAUGCAAAUCCCAGAAAAUUUCUAAAAGAGGCUGUUGAAACACUUCACAUUUCCGCAGUUGCACAGCCAUCUGAUUUUUUUCUUUUCUUUUUUUUUUUUUUUAAGCAAGAUGAAUGAAGAGUGCAUCAAACAGAUGGAGCAAGCAACUGUGAAAAGCCAACUUGAAGCAGCUUUCAGCUCAGUGACUGAGAAACUGCCAUUUCUCUCCAGAGACAUUCUGCAGAGAGAGGAACAAUGGGUAGUCCCUCUGUCUGUUACCACACACGUAGCUCCCUAACCUGGCCAGGGCUGGACAUGGACAGUUGGGAGGCUGACUGAAAACACAGCACCUACAGGGAUCAGUGGGUGUGGCAGGGUUAGAGAGGGGUACACCUCAAUUAUUCCCUUCCCUUCUCCCACGGAGUGUCCUGUAAGCCAAGUACGAACUUAGAUGUAACCUAGCAUGGGAGAAAAGAAAGCUCGCCAUUAUCUUUUUGGAAAUAAAUAAGGAUAACAUUCAGAAGCCAGAGAGCCUUUUCACUUCCCACAAAGGAUUCUGGCUUCCUUUCUCCAGGUGAGAUUACUUCCUGCUGGCAUCAUGAUGGGGCAGAGCAGACCAAUGUGCGGAAAUGAAGAGGAUAGCUGUGGUUCUGGUGUUUGCUAGACAUCCUUUCUGUAGUUAAAAUGAGACAUUUGGUCAGUCUGCACAGAAGCCAUAGGACUUGCAUGCUGAGAACACAAGACAUCAUUCCCUGGACAGUUUUCCAGGCUAGAACAAUGGACAGUUUUAAUAAAGAAUUCAGACUUUUUGGGCUUUGUCAUUGUGCACAAAGAAUAGGAAUGGCUGGUUAUUUGCCACGAAUGCUGGCAUAUGUGAUGGGAAAGCAAUAUUCACUCCCACACUAAUGCUCAAAAUUGCAACAGUAGGGCUGUGGAUAGCUCAGUCAGUUAUGUUCUUGUGGGGGAUGCAUGAAGAACUGAGUUGAAUACUCACAGAAGCUAAAAACUGGCUGUGGUCGCAUGCAUUUCUAAUUCCAGGGCUCGAGGCAGAGGUGGACAUAUCUCUGGGGCCCACUGGAUAGCCUGGAU